GCCCCUGUGGCGGAACUGGUAGACGCGGCAGACUCAAAAUCUGCUUCCUUCACUGGAGUGGGAGUUCGAUUCUCUUCGGGGGCA
rnacentral:tRNA from 1 species